rnacentral:rRNA from 1 species
UACGAAGGGGGCUAGCGUUGUUCGGAAUUACUGGGCGUAAAGCGCGUGUAGGCGGGUCUUUAAGUCAGGGGGGAAAUGCCAGGGCUCAACCUUGGAACUGCCUUUGAUACUGGAGACCUUGAGUCCGGGAGAGGUGAGUGGAAUUGCGAGUGUAGAGGUGAAAUUCGUAGAUAUUCGCAAGAACACCAGUGGCGAAGGCGGCUCACUGGCCCGGAACUGACGCUGAGACGCGAAAGCGUGGGGAGCGAACAGG